AGCCUUCUCCUAAAUGCAGUGGGGCAAAGAGGAGUGGAGGAAAACAAAGAGCGGACUGGAACCCAACUCUUGAGAAAUCACUUGUUGAAAUUCUGCAUGAGUAUAAAGAUAGUGGCUAUAGAAGUGA